UAGCAUGCUAGUCCAUUUAUAUAUAAAAUGGUUUACUUAGCAGUUCAUGAAUUUUCUAUUUUCAAUAAUGCAAUGAUGAACAUCUUUUAUGCACACUUGUUUUCUUCAUGUCUGAUCAUUUCCUCAGGCUCUGCAGAAGUGCUGUGGUCUGCUUUCAAGUUCUGAGCCUAGCUGCAUGCCAGAAUCACACCAUCUGAGGAUUAAUGAAUCAGCAUCUCCAAGAUUGGCAAAAGGGCUGCUAUCAAAGACAGGUAGAAUGACUCCUGUCUCUAGCUGCUUUCCUGGCACUUGAGCUAUGCAGUGAUAAUACAAGUUGGGAGGACUCAACAGAAGACAGGGUUGCCAGAUAAAAUAGAAGAUACCAGGCCGGGUGUGGUGGCUCACGCCUAUGAUCCCAGCAAUUUGGGAAGCUGAGGCAGGUGGAUCACUUGAGGUCUGGCCAACAUGGUGAAACCCCAUCUCUACUAAAAAUACAAAAGUGAGCUGGUCGUGGCGGCGUGCUCCUGUAAUCCCAGAUACUCAGUAGGCUGUGGCAUGAGAGUUGCUUGAACCUG